rnacentral:rRNA from 1 species
CCUACGGGUGGCAGCAGUCGAGAAUCAUUCACAAUGGGGGAAACCCUGAUGGUGCGACGCCGCGUGGGGGAAUGAAGGUCUUCGGAUUGUAAACCCCUGUCAUGUGGGAGCAAAUUAAAAAGAUAGUACCACAAGAGGAAGAGACGGCUAACUCUGUGCCAGCAGCCGCGGUAAUACAGAGGUCUAAAGCGUUGUUGGGAAUCACUGGGCGUAAGGCGUGCGUAGGCUGUUUCGUAAGUCGUGUGUGAAAGGCGCGGGCUCAACCCGCGGACGGCACAUGAUACUGCGAGACUAGAGUAAUGGAGGGGGAACCGGAAUUCUCGGUGUAGCAGUGAAAUGCGUAGAUAUCGAGAGGAACACUCGUGGCGAAGGCGGGUUCCUGGACAUUAACUGACGCUGAGGCACGAAGGCCAGGGGAGCGAAAGGGAUUAGAUACCCCAGUAGUC